rnacentral:snoRNA from 1 species
UACACUUGUUUAUGUUUUUGUUUAACUUGUGGACAAAGACUUAUAGACAGGUGCAAAAACUAAAUCAUCCUUUCCAACCCAGAACUCAUGGUUUAGUAUGAGUUUUGAUACAUAUAAGAAGGCAUAUU